rnacentral:lncRNA from 1 species
AUGAAAUACAUUGACCAAACAGGAUGUGAUGAAGGAAGAAAGGAACUCUUUGUGUGCAUUUUGGAUCUAAAAUGUGGCAGGGGUGAUGCAAUGAAGCUAUUUGGGAAAUGGCAAAUCAAGAGAAGACAGAAGAAUUUGUGGGAUUGGAAGGCCCUUUAUGAUUUGUCACAACCUGGGCAGGAAGCUCCUGGUUUCUGGAGCAAUAAAGAAAACAGUGCAGGCACACAGCUCUCACCAGAAAUGUGGAAACAUUCCAGGUUCUUAGUAGAGAUACAUCUCACACACAGAUUCAUACAAUCUAAAGUAAUAAAUAUUUUAAUGUUUAAUAAGAUAAACCUGAAAUGUGUACAACCAAUUCCUCAUGUGGGCUUGACAUUGCAACACAGAUUGAAGAGAAUACUCUGUGACUCCUUUAGCUCAUAGGAUAGAAAAAAUAUGGUUGGGGUUUCAGGUCCCAACUGGACUAUUUGGGGAAUAGAGAGAAACUAAUCUCUCUGAGAGAAGAAAGAUGAUAAAAAUCUUCAUCACAAAGUUAUUGUGAGGAUGACACGAGAUAAUGUAGGUCAAACUACAAAAUAUUUAGAGAUGAGUGAUUAGAAAUAGUUUGUUUGAACAUCUGAGAUGUUUCAAUGACUUUCCAGCCUCUAUAAUAUAAGCCUCAGUCACCAGAAGCCCUGAUUCUCCAAGCUUCGAGGCCCAGGUGCUAGUGCUGCCUGCAGGACCUGGAAGAGUCACCUUUUAUGAGACAGGACUGAGGGAAGCACUGGACCCAUCCACCUGCCCACAGCCUGCAGGCUUUUCAAAUUGUGGAGGCUGUGGGAGUAGAGCAAGCUUGGCCCUCACAGGGAGCAUCUUUUUUAACUGUGUGCUUACUGGAUGCUAAAGCCAGGCUGGAGGACAGUUUACUUAGGUCAGUGAAGGGGCGUGAUUUCCACUUAUCCCUGGAUGCAUGCAUUGAUAUAUUCUUUUUUUGGUACCAGGGGGUCAAACUCAGCACCUUGCACUUGCAAGGCAGGCUUUGGAACUACUGGCUUAAUCCCUGGCCCUGCAUGUAUCUAUAUAGCUACUCUUUUAUUUUGUUUAGAUUUAUUUAUAUAUUUAUUUAUUUAUUAAGUCAGGAUCUGGUUAUGUAGUCCAGGCUGGCCAUAAACUCACUAUGUAGCCCAGGCUGGCCUCAAAGUCUUGGGGAACCUCCUGCCUCUGCCUCCCAAGUGCUAGGAUUAUAGGUGUGCCCUACCACCAGGUAUACCCACUCUUUUAAGUUACUUUAAGUCACCUCAGGAUAAUGACUAUAAAUACAAAUCCCUUUCCAUGAGCUGCUUUUCAAUGAGAUAUUUUUGUCAUUUGUAUCAAGGUUUUCAACCCAGCAUGGUGAGGAGUUUGGCGUUGCUCCUUCUGACACAUUCCUCCCUCAUCCUUUUCUGAGCCAGGGAUUCUGAUUACUGCAGAUGUAUCAUGCAGGUCCUGCUCUCCACAGCUUUCACUGGGGCUUGGCCAAUGGACACAGCAGGAAAAGAGGACAAGAGAGAGCACCUAGGGUCUUGAUUCCACUAACUCCUUCCCUGCCCUCCAACAGUUUUAGCAGUAACCGUAUUCCUUGUCUUAGUCUGUUUUGUGCUACUCUGUCUUAAUGUCAGAACAGAUAAUUCACAAUGAACAAAAAUUUAUCACUCAUGGUUCUGGGAGGUGGGAAGUCUAAGGUCCAGGGGCUGGCAUCCCACAGCAGAAUAUAGAAGGACAAGACAGCAAGCAUUGAGGAACAAGGGAGGAGAAAGGCAGCCAAGUUUGCUUUUAUAACGAACCUACUCCCACAAUAAUGACACUAAUCAUGACCUGAUCACCUCAAGACAGAGAGAGAUAGAUAGCCAGGGAGAGGAAAGGGAGUGGAACUUACUUUUGAAUAACAAAACUACUCCCACAAUAAUGAUAUUGUCUUAGUCACUUUCUCAUUGCUGGGACAAAAUACCCAGCACCCACAUCUUAAAAGGAGGAUAGGGUUAUUUUGGCUCAUGGUUUUUAGACAAUUCAGUCCAUAGUCAACUGGCUGCAAUGCAUGGAGGUCAUGUUAGAAGGUUCUGGUGGAUGCAAGCUGCUCGCAUCACUGCAGCCAGAGAGCAGAGAGAGAAGGGAGGAGUCAGGGAGGGAGAUGGAUCCUUCCAGAUUGCAGUCCCAGUACCUACCCCCAAACAGACCCUGCCUGUACUUUUGAGUGAAGGACCCUUGUUAGCAAGACAGACUCCAUAUUGCUGCUUGACCCACCUGCCUACCCUUUAGAUGAACUCAGAAGGAGGAAGCUUAAAAACCUCCUCCCCUUAGAAAGUCUCUUUAGAAAUAACAAUCAACUAUUGUUUUACAAAUGUUCUAACAGCAGGACGUUCUGCUUCUGUACCUUUUGCUUGUUUUACUAGUUCUAUCCCAUAGAGGGCCGUAGAACCUGCUCUCCUCAAAGGUGUAUAAAACAUGUUUGUCAACCCCCAGUUGAGGCUUGAGUCCGAUGCUCGGCUCAGGUCCUGGCUGGUAAUAAACUCCUAUGUGGAUUUAAUAUUGGUCUCUGGUUGGUUCUCUCUCACUGGGUGCAACAUUGAGUGAGCAUACAAAUCUUUCACUUCAGGAAAUUUAUUCCUAAGUAUUGUAUUUUUUGGAUAUUGUUAUAGAUGAAGUUAGCUUUUUUAUUUUCUUUUCAGAUUGUUCGUUAUUAGUGUAUAGAAGCUCAAUUUAUUUUGUGUAUUGAUUUUGUAUCCUGCAAAUUUGCUGAUUUCAUUGAUUUGUUGGGACAGUUAUUUUGUGGGAUAUUUAGGGUUUUCUACAUAUAAAAUUAUAUCUUCAUUUUCCAAUUUGCUUGCAUUUUGUUUCUUUUUCUAAUUGCUCUUCUUUUAGCUUAAUUUCCCUGGAUAAAACUUCUAGCAGCAUGUUAAUAGCAGUGGUGAAAGUGGCCAUUCUUUUCUUAUUACUGACCUUAGGGGGAGGUUUUCAUUCUUUCCCAAUUGAUAAUAAUGUUCUCUGUGGGUUUUUCAUGUAUGGCUUUUGUUAUAUUGAGGGGGAUACACUUCUUUCUGAAUGGUCUGCAUGGAUGACCUUAUUAACUGUACAGAACCCUGUGAAACUGGCAUUAAAAUCCCUCUUUUGUCAGAUGAGAAAACUAAGACAUGAAGAACUAUGUUCUUCCCAUACAU